GCUGGAAAGCAGAGGCGGGACGGCCGCCAGUAAGCAUAAAUCCCACUCUGAGUAACAAGCUCGACGCAGAGAUCAUCUCAGAAAUUUACCUGCAGUGGAGCGAAAACAAAACCCAGAAACAAAUAAGGAAGAAACCCCCGAAAGCGGCGCUCAGUCAACGACAGAAAAAACCACUCUUGCGAUUCGUGAUCCGGACGUGACCGGAGAAAACAAGCGGGGGGCUCUCUCCUCGACUCCAGGGAGAUAGUUCAGGGCCUGAGCGCUCACCCGGAGCGCCCAGGACACCUCUGAAGACCCAGGGUAUCGUAACGUCAGGGAAACACCAGUGCAGGCGGGACGGACUUCUCCAGUUACGGACCUCACCGGGAUUAUUGUGUUAAGGUAAUAAGAGAUGCUAACGUGCGGACAAGAGAGAAGACGAGCGUGUGGAAACUCUUGGAGGUCUGAAAUUAUCUCAAAAUGAUAAAUUAAAAAAUAAGAAGCCA